GUUCCCAUCGUCUAGCGGUUAGGACAUCGCCCUUUCAAGGCGGCAACACGGGUUCGAUUCCCGUUGGGAACGCCA
rnacentral:tRNA from 1 species